CCCUUAGAUGUUCUGGGCCGCACGCGCGCUACACUGAUGCAUUCAACGAGUCUAAAACCUGCUCUGAUAGGGGUGGGUAAUCUUUUGAAUGUGCAUCGUGAUUGGGAUAGAUGAUUGCAAUUUUUCAUCUUCAACGAGGAAUGCCUAGUAAACGCAAGUCAUCAGCUUGCAUUGAUUACGUCCCUGCCCUUUGUACACACCGCCCGUCGCCCCUACCGAUUGAAUGAUCCGAUGAAUAUCAUGGAUUGAGGAUGCAAGUAGGUUCGCCUAUCUUCAUCUUCGAGAAGUGAAGUAAAUCUUAUCAUUUAGAGGAAGGAGAAGUCGUAACA
rnacentral:rRNA from 1 species